rnacentral:tRNA from 1 species
GCCCUCGUAGCCCAAUGGAUAGGGCGCUUGCUUUCUAGGCAGGAGAUUGCAGGUUCAAAUCCUGUCGAGGGUA